CGCCAGGGCGCCCCCAGCCAUUCGCAGCUCCAAACGUUCCCCAGCUCUCCAGUCCGGCUGUCUCCUCGCGCCCGCUGCCACGGAGCCUGCCAGCUGUGUGCAAAACUGAGGUCCUGAUCAGCAGAGCAGAGAAGAGGCUGUGGCCUCUGUGUGUCCCAGGUCCUGAGGGGCACAGACAAGGAACAAGAUCCCCUCCCCGACAAUAUGCAGCCGCCCUGGGGUCUGCCGCUCCUGCUGCUGCUCCCCUGGGUGGCAGGUGGAGUAGGGACCAGUCCAAGGGAUUAUGGGUUGCCAGCACUGGCACGCCAGCCUGGGGUCUGUCGCUAUGGAACUAAGAUGGCCUGCUGCUAUGGCUGGAAAAGAAACAGCAAGGGAGUAUGUGAAGCUGUAUGUGAGCCCAGAUGCAAAUUCGGUGAGUGUGUGGGACUGAAUAAAUGUAGAUGCUUUCCAGGGUACACCGGGAAGACCUGCAGUCAAGAUGUGAACGAGUGUGGCGUCAAACCCCGGCCAUGCCAGCACAGGUGCGUGAACACACACGGCAGCUACAAAUGCCUUUGCCUCAGUGGCCACAUGCUUCUUCCCGACGCCACAUGCGCAAACUCUAGGACGUGUGCCAGGACAAACUGCCAGUACAGCUGCGAAGAAACAGAGGAAGGGCCACGAUGUGUGUGUCCAUCCUCGGGCCUCCGCCUGGGCCCAAAUGGAAGAGUGUGCCUAGAUAUCGAUGAAUGCACUUCCAGAAAAGCCGUCUGCCCCUCCAAUCGAAGAUGUGUGAACACGUUUGGAAGCUACUACUGCAAAUGUCACAUUGGUUUUGAAUUGAAAUACGUCAGUCGCCGGUAUGAGUGCGUAGAUAUAAAUGAGUGUGCUCUGAAUACCCAUGUGUGCAGCCUCCAUGCCAAUUGCCUCAAUACUCCAGGAUCCUUCAAGUGCAAAUGCAAGCAGGGAUAUAGGGGCAAUGGACUUCAGUGCUCUGUUAUUCCUGAAAAUUCUGUGAAGGAAAUCCUCAGAGGACCUGGGACCAUCAAAGAUAGAAUCAAGAAGUUACUGGCUCACAAGCACAAUAUGAAGAAAAAGGUGAAGCUUAAAAAUGUCACCCCAAGACCCACCACUACACGCACCCCUAAGGUUAACUCGCCUUUCAGCUAUGAAGAGAGCAUUUCCAGGGGUGGGAAUUCUGAUGGAGAACAAAAAAGGAAGGAAGAGAGAAAGAGACCAGGACUUGAGGAAGAGAAAAGAGACAAAGUCCUAAAGAACGAAGUAGAACAGGAGCGAAGCCUUCGAGGAGAUGUGUUUUCUAAGGUAAAUGAAGCAGAGGAUUUGGAUCUGGUCUACGUCCAAAGAAAAGAACUAAAUUCCAAACCGGAACACAAAGCAGACUUAAACAUCUCAGUUGACUGCAGCUUUGAUCAUGGGGUCUGUGAUUGGAAACAGGAUAGAGAAGAUGAUUUCGACUGGAAUCCUGCUGGUCGAGACAAUGCUAUUGGUUACUAUAUGGCCGUCCCGGCACUGGCGGGGCACAAGAAGGAUAUUGGCCGACUGAAACUUCUCCUCCCCAACUUGACACCCCAAAGCAACUUCUGCUUGCUCUUUGAUUACCGGCUGGCUGGAGACAAAGUCGGAAAACUUCGCGUGUUCGUGAAAAAUAGCAACAGUGCCCUGGCCUGGGAAGAGACGAAAAAUGAGGACGAGAGAUGGAAGACAGGGAAAAUCCAGUUGUACCAAGGAAUUGAUACUACUACCAAAAGUGUCAUUUUUGAAGCAGAACGUGGCAAAGGCAAGACUGGAGAAAUUGCAGUGGAUGGUGUCUUACUGGUGGCAGGCAUGUGUCCAGAUGACUUUUUAUCUGUCGAGGGCUAAAUGCCACUGCCCUUCUUUAUAACCUCUUUAUAUGUGGCUUUUUAUGCCAUUUUUUCUAGGGUUUCUUUUUAUAUCAUAUCAUAGGACUCUUCCAUUUAUAAAUAUAAGCUGAAAAUGUGUAAUGUUCCAGCAGAAAUAUCAUAAGAUUUCCUUCUUGUCUCAAAUGUACUAAGAUUUGCUUUCUAUGUCGCACCACUGUGCCUUCUCCUGUGUUUCUGAAUUCUCCACAGUAUGUCAUAAAAUGUGGAAAUGCCAGUUCAUCUCCCCCUACUUAGUAAAUCUGCUUUUUCUAUGUGAGCUUAUGGACUCUUCUAAAUAACAUUUCUAGAAUAACAACAACAGGAAAAAUAGUACAGAUAAAUGGUCAGUGCUUGAGGCUGGAGAGAUGAUCUAGUGGUUAAGAACACAAGCUUUUCUAGCAGAGGAUCCAGGCUCAAUUCCCAGCACCCAAAUGGCAGCUCACAACCAUCUGCAACUCCAGUUCCAGAAGAUCCAGUGCCUUCUUCUGACCUCCAUGAAAACCUACAUGUGUGUGGUACACAUGGGUACACUUUGGCCCAUACACAUAAAAUAAUAAAAAUGAAGCAGAUGACUAUGACAGCCAGAGACAUCACCCAGGAACACUGGCUCCUUACCAGUCCACGACACAGAAAACAAAGCUUGCGCUUCUGGAAGAGGGCUCACUUUCUCUGAGGGAAGAUGAACAGACCUUCCUGGAACUCGGGCCUGCUGUUUAAAGUCUGUGCCAGUCGGACGUUAAAACAGUACUUAGGUGAUUUAACUUCUUCAAAAUGAAACACACAUGAAGUGAAGGCAUUUACAAUUUCGGGAACACUUGCGAACAUGUUAUCAUGCUAUAAUUUGUUACUAUGCUUCACAGGCUUUUUUUUUUAACAAAUGGUCUUGCAUUUUAGAAUAAAGAGUCUGGGGGAAAUUUACAGGCUGAAAUGAAUAAUGACUACUUAGCAUCAUUUCUUACAAAUGCUUUCAGACUGACACUGAUAAUUCUGCCCCAAGACAGAAUAGAAGCAAAGAUAGUGAAUAGCAAGAUACAUUUCUGUUUUAAAAACUGGCUUUUACUGAGCGUUCAUAAAUUUCUCUCAAUUUGUUGGUCUUAGGUAGUGGAGUGUUAUUUAAUUGUUUCUUUCCAUUCUAGGGAUUGAAUCUAGGGCCUUGCUUCUUCUGAACAAGUGCACCACAGGCGAGAGAGAGAGAGAGAGAGAGAGAGAGAGAGAGAGAGAGAGAGAGAGAGAGAGAGAGAGAGAGAGAGAGAGAGAGAGAGAACAAGGUCAUUCUUAGCCACACAGCACAUUUGAAACCAGCCUGGGCUACAUAUGAGAUCCUGUUUAGAAAAUACAAAUAAAACCGGCCUGGUGGUGCUCACCUUUAAUCCCAGAAGUGGGGAGGCAGA